rnacentral:lncRNA from 10 species
UUCAUUUGUUGUUAUAUUUGACUGUUAAAAUUUGCUUGUGCUUUUAAAUAUGUACCAUUGGUAAUGUAUUUAAGCAAUCAGAAGUGUAAAUGAAAAUUUAUUGUCUAGGAUGACUAAAGCAAGGGUCAGUGUGGACUUUGGAAUUGAAAAGAACUGGAUUCAUAUCCCAGCUCAACCACUAACUAGAGUGAAACUCUGAACAUCAGCUUCUCAUCUGUAAACUGGAGGAGAAACCCAAGAUGCAAAAUGAGUGAAAUCAAUUUCUUUGACAUUUAUUGGGAUUUGACACCUGCAACUGCUUGUGACAGCAGUCCUGAUGUUCAAAGAAUACUGACUGCUGGACUGAGAAGGAGCCACUUCAGACAUGGUCAAAAAGAGAAGGAAGUUUUCAAGGGAUUACAUAUGGUCGUCUAUCAUCCAGUGAUU